rnacentral:rRNA from 1 species
UACGUAGGGGGCGAGCGUUGUCCGGAAUCAUUGGGCGUAAAGCGCGUGUAGGCGGCCCGGUAAGUCCGCUGUGAAAGUCCAGGGCUCAACCCUGGGAUGCCGGUGGAUACUGUCGGGCUCGAGUCCGGAAGAGGCGAGUGGAAUUCCUGGUGUAGCGGUGAAAUGCGCAGAUAUCAGGAGGAACACCAAUGGCGAAGGCAGCUCGCUGGGACGUGACUGACGCUGAGACGCGAAAGCUGGGGGAGCAAACGGG